UACGUAGGGCGCAAGCGUUGUCCGGAAUUAUUGGGCGUAAAGGGCGCGUAGGCGGCCAGCGCAAGUCAGUUGUGAAAUCUCCGGGCUUAACUCGGAAAGGUCAACUGAUACUGCGCGGCUAGAGUGCAGAAGGGGCAACUGGAAUUCUCGGUGUAGCGGUGAAAUGCGUAGAUAUCGAGAGGAACACCUGCGGCGAAGGCGGGUUGCUGGGCUGACACUGACGCUGAUGCGCGAAAGCCAGGGGAGCGAACGGG
rnacentral:rRNA from 1 species